UAAGUGCAAUGUAAUCCUGUUUGGUGGGGUGGGUUUUUUGAAAAAAAUAGUGGCUGCAUUAAUGGCUGCCUCCAUGAAUAACAUUUUUAGCAAAAGAUAAAAUUAAACUUAAUCUGACUUUUUGAAUAUGAUCCCGUUAAUAAAGUGUCGUCUAAUUAAGUCUCCACAAUUAAUGUGCACACGUGGAGUGAAUUUUAGUAAAUGCCAAUUAGACAAACACUUGGCUAACUGCAGUAAACAUUACCCUCAACGGAGUUACGCAACCAACCAAAUUCCAAAGAAAUUUCAGAGAAAAUUUCUUCCGUUUGAACAGACCUCGUCUGGAACUGCAGAAAAAGUGAUAUUUUCCUGUCAAAAAUGGAAAUUUCGAGCAUUUUUGGUGUCUUGCAGUGGAGUUUUCUUGUGUGGGACUAUACUAAAUUCCACAGAACUAAUUUACAAUGUUUUGAAGUCAAAGUCAAAGGCUGUGGCAAAUGAGCGUGGUGAAUAUCCCUGGUAUUACUGGUGGACAUAUAUAAAUGUUGACUUAGGCAGCUUUCCAGUGAGGAUUGCUCUAGCUGCUUUACUUACUGGAUGCGCUGUCUUUGUUCUGGCAAUGUCAAUGAUGUACCCAUCGCGUGUUGUUCGUGAAUUAACCAUAUUAAAAGGACAUGAAAAGCUUCUAAUAGAGACCUAUGGACCUUUUGGAAUACCCAGAACUAUUGAGAUACCAUUAAAAGAUCUAUCAGCAGUUUGGGGUGCUAAGAGCAUCGCACAAGAGAAAACGAUGCCUUUGAAAGUAAGAGGAAAGCGUUUCUUCUUUCAAGUUUUGACUGAGAAAGGACAGAUACACGACAAAGAACUUUUUGAUCAUGCAAUUGCAGUACAAAGAUUUGAGGUUGAAAGAUUAUCUUGGCGAAAAUAAUGUGACAUUGUUGACUUCGCAUUUUAUGCCAGUAAGAGGAACACUUUGUAUGACACUGUUAUAUCUGUGUAAACUACAGAACUAAAUAAAAGAAAACAAUUACUUUUGUCUCCACAGUCUCCACAGUUUCACUUACAAAACAAUCUUACAUACUUGCAUGAAAUUGACUCAAGCAAAAACAAAUAUAGGUUUAAACCAAUGUAUGUGUUGUUCAACUCAUGGAUCAGCUCAUUUUUAGUUUAAUUCCUUAAUCAUCAGUUUCCAAAUUCAAAUUAGUUGGGCAUAACAUGCAACUUACGAAAUCAUAUGUGUAGGUGUUUAGGACACAUGUAAAACAAGACAAUUUAUUGAAUCGAUACCCCCACCUAAUAAAUUUGGUUUAUGGAUGGAUGCAGAACAACUUUGCUAAUAAAGGGCAGUGUGCAACAAAAUUUGUUUGACUUGACCUUGGCCAAACGGACAAGGGUCUUGCAUGUUCCUCACUGCCUCAGGGAAUUUGUUAAUUCCUUGCUUUAUAGUAGAACUCUAACAAAAUACACCAUGAUUAAUCAAAAUUCGUAACAUUUUACCUCAGUGUGUGACCUUGAACCUAGAGACCUUAGUCUUAAUGUGACACUCAGCCAGAUAAAGGAGAACAAUUGUAGGAAGUUAUUACAGAAUCCCUUGAUGCAUAACAAAGUAGUGUUCUGGGCUCCUCUGGAGCAUUGUCGCACAAUUGUGACAAUGUACAUGCGUAAGGGGAAACGCGUGCAAAACAGCUAAAAAUCAAGAUAAAAACAAGUUGCUCCAGAGUUAAGGCCUUAGAAUGUCCAUCAUGGUCUUAAAGACGUCGAGGGAUGGUGCCAUGAACGUCGCUUCUGGUAGGCUGUUCCAGAUGCGGAUGCCAGAGGGAAAGAAGGAGUAUUUGUAGACAUUGACGCUGGCAAAGGGUACAAGGAACCUGUUCGCGUGGCCUCUUGUAUGAGCACCAGCUGAUAGUAGGAUGUGCUUGGAUUGGAUCUCUACUAGGUUGUUUAUGAUCCUGAACAUCAUGAUGGCUUUGAAGUGCUGGCGACGGGCUUCUUGUGUCCCAGUCAAGCCUUUUCAUCAUGG